AUUGAACGCUGGCGGCAUGCCUAACACAUGCAAGUCGAACGGUAACAGCCAGCAGCUUGCUGCUUUGCUGACGAGUGGCGGACGGGUGAGUAAUGUCUGGGCAACUGUCUGCUGUAGGGGGACAACUACUGGAAACGGUUGCUAAUACCGCAUAACUCCGCAAGACUAAAGAGGGGGACCUUCGGGCCUCUUUCCAUCGGGUGUGCCCAGAUGGGAUUCGCUAGUGGGUGGGGUAACGGCUCACCUAGGCGACGAGCCCUACCUGCUCUGAGGGGAUGACCAGCCGCACUGGAACUGAGACACGGUCCAGACUCCUACGGGAGGCAGCAGUGGGGAAUAGUGCACAAAGGGCGCAAGACUGAUGCAGCCGUGCCGAGUGUAUGGAGGAGGCCUUCGGGUUGGAAAGUACUUUCAGGGGGGAGGAAGGGAGUAAGGUUAAUACCUUUGCUGAGUGACGUUACCCGCAGAAGAAGCACCGGCUAACUCCGUG
rnacentral:rRNA from 1 species